rnacentral:rRNA from 1 species
UGGUAAUGCCGGAUGCUCCGGUUGGAUGCAUGUCCUUCCGGGAAAGAUUCUAUCGGUAUGGGAUGGGGUCGCGUCCUAUCAGCUUGAUGGCGGGGUAACGGCCCACCAUGGCUUCGACGGGUAGCCGGCCUGAGAGGGCGACCGGCCACAUUGGGACUGAGAUACGGCCCAGACUCCUACGGGAGGCAGCAGUGGGGAAUAUUGCACAAUGGGCGCAAGCCUGAUGCAGCGACGCCGCGUGCGGGAUGGAGGCCUUCGGGUUGUAAACCGCUUUUGAUCGGGAGCAAGCCCUUCGGGGUGAGUGUACCUUUCGAAUAAGCACCGGCUAACUACGUGCCAGCAGCCGCGGUAAUACGUAGGGUGCAAGCGUUAUCCGGAAUUAUUGGGCGUAAAGGGCUCGUAGGCGGUUCGUCGCGUCCGGUGUGAAAGCCCAUCGCUUAACGGUGGGUCUGCGCCGGGUACGGGCGGGCUGGAGUGCGGUAGGGGAGACUGGAAUUCCCGGUGUAACGGUGGAAUGUGUAGAUAUCGG